ACCAAGGCGACGACGGGUAGCUGGUCUGAGAGGACGAUCAGCCACACUGGGACUGAGACACGGCCCAGACUCCUACGGGAGGCAGCAGUGGGGAAUCUUGCGCAAUGGGCGAAAGCCUGACGCAGCAACGCCGCGUGGGGGAUGAAUGCCUUCGGGUUGUAAACCCCUUUCAGUGGGAACGAAAUUGACGGUACCCACAGAAGAAGCCCCGGCCAACUACGUGCCAGCAGCCGCGGUGAUACGUAGGGGGCGAGCGUUGUCCGGAUUCAUUGGGCGUAAAGAGCUCGUAGGCGGCUUGGUAAGUCGGGUGUGAAACCUCCAGGCUCAACCUGGAGACGCCACUCGAGACUGCCCUGGCUGGAGUCCGGUAGGGGACCACGGAAUUCCUGGUGUAGCGGUGAAAUGCGCAGAUAUCAGGAGGAACACCAGUGGCGAAGGCGGUGGUCUGGGCCGGUACUGACGCUGAGGAGCGAAAGCGUGGGGAGCGAACAGGAUUAGAUACCCUGGUAGUCCACGCCGUAAACGUUGGGCACUAGGUGUGGGACCUUAUCAACGGGUUCCGUGCCGCA
rnacentral:rRNA from 1 species